AGUUGGAAGAAUUGAAGCCACCGGUUUCACAGGCCUUCAGUGGCCUCCUGUCCUUUGACUGGAAUCUUUCCUUCUCCAACCUGGGCUGCACAUAGGGCAGAGGAAGAUUUACAAUGAGCAAAUUCCCCCUCUGAAGCCUUUGGGAGCGGACAGCAUGUAUGCAAUUUCAUCACCUUGUUCUGCAAUUAGUGGGUGAUCCAGAUGGCAACAUGAAACAGUAAUGCAAAGAUCCACUGCUCCUAAUUGCUGUCACAGCAGACAUGGGUAAUUAGUUCUAAGCUCUUGAGGGAAAAGAAGCUCUUCCAAAAACUGUCUUCUAAUGUGCUGUGGUCUUCAAUAAAAUAAAUCUGGUCUCAAAAUUUUA